UACGAUCAAAUCACACUGAAAAGACCGGAUCUCAUUCGAUCACCGAGGUUAAGCAGUGUCGAGCCUGAUUAGUACUUCGAUGGGGACCACUUGGGAACACAGGUAACUGUAA